AUCCAACGGACGAGUCCGAAAUAGGACGAAACGCGCGUCAAACUAGAU
rfam:Schistosoma mansoni strain Puerto Rico chromosome 1, complete genome